CAACGCGAAGAACCUUACCUGGUCUUGACAUCCACAGAAGAAUCCAGAGAUGGAUUUGUGCCUUCGGGAACUGUGAGACAGGUGCUGCAUGGCUGUCGUCAGCUCGUGUUGUGAAAUGUUGGGUUAAGUCCCGCAACGAGCGCAACCCUUAUCCUUUGUUGCCAGCGAUUAGGUCGGGAACUCAAAGGAGACUGCCAGUGAUAAACUGGAGGAAGGUGGGGAUGACGUCAAGUCAUCAUGGCCCUUACGACCAGGGCUACACACGUGCUACAAUGGCGCAUACAAAGAGAAGCGACCUCGC
rnacentral:rRNA from 1 species